rnacentral:rRNA from 1 species
AUUGAACGCUGGCGGCAGGCCUAACACAUGCAAGUCGAGCGGCAGCGGAAAGUAGCUUGCUACUUUGCCGGCGAGCGGCGGACGGGUGAGUAAUGUCUGGGAAACUGCCUGAUGGAGGAGGAUAACUACUGGAAACGGUAGCUAAUACCGCAUAACGUCGCAAGACCAAAGAGGGGGACCUUCGGGCCUCUUGCCAUCAGAUGUGCCCAGAUGGGAUUAGCUAGUAGGUGGGGUAACGGCUCACCUAGGCGACGAUCCCUAGCUGGUCUGCGAGGAUGACCAGCCACACUGGAACUGAGACACGGUCCAGACUCCUACGGGAGGCAGCAGUGGGGAAUAUUGCACAAUGGGCGCAAGCCUGAUGCAGCCAUGCCGCGUGUAUGAAGAAGGCCUUCGGGUUGUAAAGUACUUUCAGCGGGGAGGAAGGUGUUGAGGUUAAUAACCUCAGCAAUUGACGUUACCCGCAGAAGAAGCACCGGCUAACUCCGUGCCAGCCGCCGCAGUAACAC